rnacentral:lncRNA from 1 species
UCUUGUUUUUUGGCCGAUUAUUAUUAUUAUUAUUAUUAUUAUUUUUAGAGAUAGAUAGGAUUCUAUCCGUUUUAUUUAUUUCAUUUAAAAAUAAACUUAGCUAGAAAUAUAAAUCAACUAACAUUCGAAUUUGGAUAUCGGGUACCAACCAUUAAAUUCUUUUGCCAUUUGCACUAGAAAUGAUCGGUAUGGCCGAUUAUUAUUAUUAUUAUUAUUAUUAUUAUUAUUAUUAUUAGAUUGCUGCUAUCGAUUGGAUCGGGAUGGAUCUCGUCUUUCAUUUGAAUGGUCCGAUGAAUGUCGCGAGAGACAUCUCUUUGUACGGAGACUGCACGAACUCAGUCUCGUUCACGGGUUGGUUUUGGGCUAAAAAUACAACAAUAACAUGCACCCGUAACACAGACCAACUAGAGAUGGGCACUCGGUAUAGACAAAAGGAUCUUAUUGCACCUAGGGCUGUUUGAUUGUAUGAAAUUAUAAUUAUACUGUUAUAAUUGUAUGCAAUAUAAAUUUGGUAUUUAGUUUGAUAUAUUUAAUUCCAAUUGUUGCAGUUGGAAUUGUAGGAGGAGGAGGUUUAACUUUAGCAGUUGGAACUACGUCCAAAUUGAUCGCAAUUCUAACUACAGCAGUUUGAAAGAAUAACUUUAAAACAAAAGAUAAGUUUAUCUUCUUAAUUAUUUUUUAAACAAAAAAUAUUUUUCUUUUUUAUAUUAGAGGUAAUCUUAUCAUCCUAUAUAUAAAAUGAUAAAAUUCUAAGAAUUAAUUUCUUAAUUGUAUGGAGUCAAACAAAUUAUUUGUAGUUGUGACGUUUUUUACUACAUCCAACCAAGCAUGAUGUAUAUAGUUACAGCUGCAUGCAUUUCUAAUUACACUGUAUUUAUAAUUAUAUAUAACCAAACGACCUCUUAGAGUAACCGGGUAAGCAGUUUGGUU